GUGCCAGCAGCCGCGGUAAUACGAAGGGUGCAAGCGUUAAUCGGAAUUACUGGGCGUAAAGCGCGCGUAGGUGGUUCGUUAAGUUGGAUGUGAAAGCCCCGGGCUCAACCUGGGAACUGCAUCCAAAACUGGCGAGCUAGAGUACGGUAGAGGGUGGUGGAAUUUCCUGUGUAGCGGUGAAAUGCGUAGAUAUAGGAAGGAACACCAGUGGCGAANGCGAUCACCUGGACUGAUACUGACCCUGAGGUGCGAUAGUCGUGGGAGCAAUCAGGUAUUAGCAUCCGCUGGUACUCC
rnacentral:rRNA from 1 species